GAAUUAUAUAAGAGAAGAGAAGCGCAAAACGCACCAUACUAACUACUAUUACUUAAUACUCUAUUGUUUUUUUUUUGUUUGUGUACCAUCACUAUUUUUUAAUGUGUUUUGAUAUAAUCUAAUUAUUUUAUAGAAAUGGACAGAAAAGUACGAGAAAAAAAAGAAGACACGACGACGACGUAAUAUUUUUUUAUUAUAUAUAUAUUAUGAAGAAAAAGAAUAAGAAUAAGAAAGAAAGAUAAUACACGGUGCUCGCUUUAACUUUAAUCCUCCUUCAUAUCAAAAGAAGCGUCUCUAGCUUCGGGGGAGAUACGUUCCAUAAUAUAUUUAUAGAUGGGACGAAAAUUAGGAACAAA
rnacentral:ribozyme from 14 species